UAGGGAAUCUUCCGCAAUGGGCGAAAGGCUGCCGGAGCAACGCCGCGUUAGUGAUGAAGGUCUUCGGAUCGUAAAACUCUGUUAUUAGGGAAAAACAAAUGUGUAAGUAACUAUGCACGUCUUGACGGUACCUAAUCAGAAAGCCACGGCUAACUACGUGCCAGCAGCCGCGGUAAUACGUAGGUGGCAAGCGUUAUCCGGAAUUAUUGGGCGUAAAGCGCGCGUAGGCGGUUUUUUACGUCUGAUGUGAAAGCCCACGGCGCAACCGUGGGGGAUCAGUGGAAACUGGAAAACUUGAGUGCAGAAGAGGAAAGUGGAAUUCCAUGUGUAGCGGUGAAAUGCGGAGAGAUAUGGAGGAACACCAGUGGCGAAGGCGACUUUCUGGUCUGUAACUGACGAUGAUGUGCGAAAGAGUGGGGAUCAAACAGG
rnacentral:rRNA from 1 species